UGGGGAAUUUUGGACAAUGGGCGAAAGCCUGAUCCAGCAAUGCCGCGUGUGUGAAGAAGGCCUUCGGGUUGUAAAGCACUUUUGUCCGGAAAGAAAUCCUUGGCUCUAAUACAGUCGGGGGAUGACGGUACCGGAAGAAUAAGCACCGGCUAACUACGUGCCAGCAGCCGCGGUAAUACGUAGGGUGCAAGCGUUAAUCGGAAUUACUGGGCGUAAAGCGUGCGCAGGCGGUUUGCUAAGACCGAUGUGAAAUCCCCGGGCUCAACCUGGGAACUGCAUUGGUGACUGGCAGGCUAGAGUAUGGCAGAGGGGGGUAGAAUUCCACGUGUAGCAGUGAAAUGCGUAGAGAUGUGGAGGAAUACCGAUGGCGAAGGCAGCCCCCUGGGCAAGUACUGACGCUCAUGCACGAAAAGCGUGGGGAGCAAACNGGAUUAAUACCCUGGUAGUCCACGCCCUAAAANGAUGUCAACUAGUUGUUGGGGAUUCAUUUUCCUUAGUAACGUAGCUAACGCGUGAAGUUGACCGCCU
rnacentral:rRNA from 1 species